CGACGAUGAUUCCUCCGAAGUCGACUCGUACUCGUCUACCUCGUAGAAGGAAGUUGUGUUCGAGGUCGACGAAUGAUCCGAGAGCAAAGCCAUGGAAAGGUCCAGCGGCGACUCUAAAAUAUCACAGGGAACCUUAACGUGAAUCUCAAGGAACGUCGCGCGAGACCCUCAAGCUGGAAAUCAUACGGUUAUAGUGUAUUCGGGUUGGCGGCAAGCGCGCGCAAUCGAAAAGAAAAUAAUGAGACCGUCUACAAAUCUGAAAUGCAAAUAUCGGGCGGAAUUUUUGUCGGUCGGAUCAAGGUGGCCGCUUGUGAUUCAAAUGUGUAGCUCUCGCAAGGAAUAAAAGACAGUACAAUGGGUGGUGGCAGCUAGACGGUCCUUAGUUGCACUCCUGGCAAGGUAUUUCUUACAAACUUUCAGUCGCGAAGAAGAAUAAGAAGAAGAAGACGAAGGAAAGCAAUAAAGGAUAAGAGAAGCUAGUAGAGUGGGAAGACGGAGUGUCCAUUCGUAAUAACUUAUCCGUUAAAUUCUCAGACGCCAUAAACUGACUUUCCUAUCUGUGCUUGAGUUACGAAAAGAGGUUAUGUUAACUAAAGCAUAAUGUAUCAUUACGAGAGAAUCAAUAACCAACUCAAUUAUGACGCGUGCUAUUUAAAUCAUAAAGAAAGAUCAAUCCGUAGCUGCAGGAAACGCGCGUCCGGUAUCAUUAAGAUCCUACCAGGUUGUUACAUUAAUCUCAAACCGUUAGUGUGUAUACAACCAUUGCGUACUUACCAUUCAAAAUGGAAUCGAUGGUGCACCUGUAGAUUGCUGAACGCGAGCAUACGUCAUGGGAUAUAAAGACAAAAUUUUCUUGGGAUGCUGGCAGAAACCAUGCUACUAAUUCUGUGUCAGGUUGGACAUCCUUUAUAACUUCAAAUAUCGGCUCUCCUAAAUUAAAUAAUUAUUUAAUUGGUUAAAACCAUUUUUAAGAUUACGGAAACUCUUGGAUUGUAAUUUGAAAAAGAUACCUCGUCGUAGCAGCCAUAUUCGCGCCUGAUCUAAAAACACAUCAGCCGGUGUACCAGUGCUUAUAAGUUAGAAAAUAUAAGAGAUACUUACGUCAUUGUCAUCAAGCAGCGAGUAGAGAUCUAUCUUGUCGAAUCUGAUCGAACCUUGAAACGGAUAGAUAAGGGUUCCUGAAGGUAUGAAGACGUUGGACCAUACUGAUACUCGUAGAUCGGCUACCAGGG